rnacentral:rRNA from 1 species
UGGGGAAUUUUCCGCAAUGGGCGAAAGCCUGACGGAGUGACGCCGCGUGGGGGAUGAAGGCCUUUGGGUCGUAAACCCCUGUCAGAGGGAAAGAAGGGUCGGCGCGUGAAUAGCGCGUCGAUCUGACGGUACCUUCAGAGGAAGCCCCGGCCAACUCUGUGCCAGCAGCCGCGGUAAGACAGAGGGGGCAAGCGUUGCUCGGAAUCACUGGGCGUAAAGGGCGCGUAGGCGGGAUGGCAAGUCGGUCGUGAAAUCCCUGGGCUCAACUCAGGGGGGUCGGCCGAUACUGCCGUUCUUGAGGGAUGCAGAGGAGACUGGAAUUCCCGGUGUAGCGGUGAAAUGUGUAGAGAUCGGGAGGAACACCGGUGGCGAAGGCGGGUCUCUGGGCAUUCCCUGACGCUGAGGCGCGAAAGCGUGGGGAGCAAACGGGAUUAGAUACCCCGGUAGUCCACGCGGUAAACGAUGACGACUAGGUGUGGGGGGGUUAAGUCCCUUCCGUGCCGCAGCUAACGCAUUAAGUCGUCCGCCUGGGGAGUACGGCCGCAAGGUUGA